AUGACAACAACUGCAGCCCUGACCACAACGGCUGCCCCAACAACGACUGCUACCCCAACUACAACUGCUGCCACAACAACAACAACUGCAGCCCUAACGACAACAACUGUAGCCCCAAUGACAACUGCCGCCCUAACAACUUCAGCCCCAACGACGACUGCAGCCCCUACGACAACAACUGCAGCACCAACAACAACAACUGCAGCCCCAACAACAACUGCUGCCACAACAACAACUGCUACCCCAACGACAGCUGCCCCAACAACACCUGCAGCCCCAACGACGACUGCAGCCUCGACGAUGCCUGCAGUCCCCACGACAACAACUUCUGCCCCAACAACUGCAGCCCCAACAACAACUGCUUCCACAACAACUACAACUGUUUUUCCAACAAUUGCUUCCCCAACAACAACUGUAGUCCCAACAACAACUGCCGUAACAAUAUCUGCCACCCCAACAACUACAACUGCCGCCCCUACAACAACUGAUACCUCAACAACAACUGCUGUGCCUACAACUACAACUCUGUCUCCAACAACGACUGCAGCCCCAACAACAAAUGCAGCUCCAACAACAAUUGCUGCCCCAACCACUGCUGCCCCAACAACAACAGCUGCCCCAACAACAACUGCUGCCCCAAAAACAACUGCAGCCCCAACGACGACUGCAGCACCGACGACAACAACUGCAGCAGCUCCAACGACUACUUCCCCAACUACAACUGCUGCCAUGACAACUGCUGCCCCAGCAACAACAACUGCAGCGCCAACAACAACUGCAGCCGCAACGACGACUGCAGCACCCACGACAACAACUGCAGCACCAACAACAACUGCUACCCCAACAACGACAGCUGCCCCAACAACAACACCUGCAGCCCCAACGACGACUGCAGGCUCGACGACAACUGCAGUCCCAAGGACAACAACAUCUGCCCCAACAACAACAACUGCAGCCCCAACAAUAACUGCUUCCACAACAACUACAACUGUUUUUCCAACAACUGCUUCCCCAACAACAACUGUAGUCCCAACAACAACUGCUGCAACAAUAUCUGCCACCCCAACAACAACCUCUGCCCCAAUAACUACAACUGCCGCCCCUACAACAACUGAUUCCUCAACAACAACUGCUGUGCCUACAACUACAACUCUUUCUCCAACAACAACGACUGCAGCCCCAACAACGACUGCAGCCCCAACAACAAAUGCCGCCCAAAAAACUACAACUGUUGCUCCACUGGGUAUUAUCCAUCUGCUUCUCGGACUCCUUAUCUGUACCCUCUGGUAA
rnacentral:lncRNA from 1 species